rnacentral:rRNA from 1 species
AACGAACGCUGGCGGCAUGCCUAACACAUGCAAGUCGAACGAGAUCUUCGGGUCUAGUGGCGCACGGGUGCGUAACGCGUGGGAAUCUGCCCUUUGGUUCGGAGUAACAGUUGGAAACGACUGCUAAUACCGGAUGAUGACGAAAGUCCAAAGAUUUAUCGCCAGAGGAUGAGCCCGCGUAGGAUUAGCUAGUUGGUGUGGUAAAGGCGCACCAAGGCGACGAUCCUUAGCUGGUCUGAGAGGAUGAUCAGCCACACUGGGACUGAGACACGGCCCAGACUCCUACGGGAGGCAGCAGUGGGGAAUAUUGGACAAUGGGCGAAAGCCUGAUCCAGCAAUGCCGCGUGAGUGAUGAAGGCCUUAGGGUUGUAAAGCUCUUUUACCCGGGAUGAUAAUGACAGUACCGGGAGAAUAAGCUCCGGCUAACUCCGUGCCAGCAGCCGCGGUAA